rnacentral:misc_RNA from 1 species
AAGUCGUAACAAGGUUUCCGUAGGUGAACCUGCGGAAGGAUCAUUAACAAUCAUCCAAACACUCGUCUUGGCUGCCCCACAGUGUGUGUUUCACUACCACACGCCUCUUGUGUGUGCGCGCAAGGCACACACCCUACGGCACUGCUUAUUCAGCUGCUGCUCUAGGGUGUCGUCGUCAUGUGCAAGCACAAUAGAGGGGGUGGGGUAUGCCGUAAAGAGACACACACACUCACAUUCAACAUUGACACCUAAUGGAGAACCAAUCAAUUAAAACUUGAUGAUACAAACAACUUUUAACAAUGGAUCUCUCGGCUCUU